GUUCAAAGUCAACCUGGGCUACCAGCCUGAACUACACAGAAAGAUCUCAAAAACCAGAAAUAAAUGAGACCUGAUCAAAUGUCAUCCUCUCACCUACCCAGCCUGUUCCUGUCACCAAGAGUGGAAGCCACGAUGUCUAAGGGUGUGUCCUUGCAGGAGAGGGAACUAGACUGGCCUCUCACAGCAAGAGCAGGCAUUGUCGCUGUGGUGGAGCUGCGCUGCUCCCGAGUCUCCAAGAUAUCGCUAGGACCAUGGUAA
rnacentral:lncRNA from 1 species